rnacentral:lncRNA from 1 species
GGGGGCGGGGAGGAGGCGGCUCUGCGCAGGCACCGACCGCCCCCCUCCCCGAGGAGCUGCGGCGGGAGGACGCGGGUUCAGCGAUGAGGGACGAACCUCAGAGCGCGCUCGGCCGCCCGGCCGCCCGCAGCCGCGGGGCUGACAAACCAGCGGCGGGAGGCUGCGAAGCGGCUGUGCCUGUGGCGGCUGCUCCUUACCGCAGCGCCCUCCGUUUUCCGCGGACACGGCUGGGCGUGCGCGCGCGCGUGCGUGCGAUCCUUCCGCGGCGCCCGGGCACGGAGGGUCCCGGGAAGGGCGGGGGGAGACUGAGGCGGGGGCGCGGAGGGAUACCGCCCCGGGACAAUCACGGCCGCCACGUGCGGGAGGCGCCGGCCGGGAGCGGUGGCGGGCCGAGCUUCGGACCUCGGGCCGGCGGAGAGGGUGGACCCCGCGUCGCUCUCGGCACCCCAGGAACAGCGGCGGCACGGACGCCUUGGAGCCCCGCGGCCGGGCCGCGAUGUGCUUUUCUCCUGUGUUCGCUGCCCGGGAUGCGGAAUCUUGAGCCUCGGUGUCGGGUUACAGAGUUGUCCUGGUGACGGGAUGCGGAGCGUUUCCUCCUUUUUGUUGUGGGGGCGGCUGGUGGCAGGGGCAGCUGGUGGCAGGGUUGCCCACGCUAAUCUCCGAGUCUCUAAGGGCACCGUCUUUCCUGGAUCCCUCUUGCGCCUCGUCCAUAAAGGCAGACCCGCGGGCGCGCGCCGGCAACCUGAAAUCAGAGCAGGCGUCCGUGGCGCUCAGGAACCUUGCUGAGCUUCGCCGAUCUUUCAUUGUUGCUUCAUUUGGGUACCAAGGGCCUCUCAUUCUGUGGAUUCUUUGCCUGGAGGAGCCCCCUUAAUGUUGCUAAUCACGUGUGGUUAAAUUGCUCGUAAAUUCCGAACAAAACAAAUAGCGACCUGUGUUACACUGUUUCUUGGUAACUGGGAAAGUUACUGGUGGCUUGAAGUAUACGCAGAAAAUACAAAGAUUAAAAACUAGGGAAGAGUUCACUGAAUGAACACCGUAACAUUUCUGCUCUGCAGGGUAAAAUAAUUUCGGGACCCAGGUCUGGGAAAGAUUUGUAUUAACAAGGUAAACGGUGGGUAGAGUGCCUGAGAAGCUAUUCGUAUCGUCUUUGGUAGCCUCUGGGCACUAGGACUAGACAUGGAAUUAGGGGUCCCCCAACAAUGACUUCAAUUUUAGGUUAAUAGAAACCAUCUGCCACUUAAGGGAAAGAAAGCACCAAAAUGUAGAUAAGUUGAUGUUCACCCUUAAAGUUAUCGUGUGAGGUCAUGAUUUGUAGGAGGAUUAAGGAAUGUAUCUCUGGAAAGGGCAAGAACGUUGCUUUUAAAAGUCUAAUUGGUUCUGAAGUUUUAUAUUUUUUCUGCUGAUUGCUUUAAAAUGUUCAGCUACUAGAGAGAAAAAAAGUACAGUAAAAGAAACCCCCAAGUCAGAGACCUAUCAGACUGAGAAUAUGUAUUUUCUCAUGUUCUAAAGAUACAGAAUACCUGUGUGGUGUAAAAUGUGAACCAAAAAUUGUUUCAUUUUUGUAAGUGUGCCUCCCACCUGAUUUAAUUACACUUAAUUGUUCUUGUUUAUGACUCUGCCUUUUAUGGUGAUGUUGAUCAUUUUAGUCCUUCGAUCAUAGCACUGUAUCAUCUUAAAAGUUAAUAAUAGAUUACUUGUAACACAGGCUCACUAUGUGAGAAUUCAUCAAGCUGUAUGUACAUUUAUUGUGCUCUUCAUUGUAUGUAUAAUUCAAUAAAUUGAAACAGUAAACGAAAAGGUAAUUAUAGAAAAAAUACAGUGAUAACUUGAAGUAUGUUGAAUUUUUAUUAAUUUACUCUGAAGGUUUUAAGAUAUAAUUUCUAGACGUUACUAUCUUAUUGUUAUAGCACAGAGUUGGAAAUAACUACAUUCUUUUCCUAUUCUUUUAUUGUUGGCUUUAAACAGUGAAAGAAUUUGACCAACAAUAUUUUCUAAUUCAAAUCUCAAAAGAUUCUAAAACACAUUUCUUGGGUAAAAUAUUCACAAAAAUUUAGAAUUCUUGUCAUUCUUCUAUAUUUUUCAAAAUAUAAUUCAUUUUAAAUUACUGCUUACUUUUCCAACAUGAUGUUAUUUUUCUAGAAUUGCAAACAGUAAAAUUUAAACAACUAUGAAAAAAAUUCUGUAUAAUAGAUUAAAUUUUACAGUUUCAAUUUUUAGGUUAUAUAUUCAAAGAGAGUCCAUGUGCUGUCUUGGUUUUCAGUACUGUAAUAAAGUAACCUGUGCUUUUUUGUUUGUUUGUUUAUUGAGAUGAGACUCCGUCACCAGGGCUGGAGUGCAGUGGCAUGAUCUCGGCUCACUGCAACCUCCGCUUCCUGGGUUCAAGCGAUUCUCCUGCCUCAGCCUCCCAAAAGUAGCUGGGAUUACAGACACCCGCCACUACGCCCAGCUAAUUUUUUGUAUUUUUUGUAGAGA